rnacentral:rRNA from 1 species
AUGCGAAGGAGCGAGAUGCGCGUGCUAUACAUGCAGUCGAGCGGAGUUUUGAAAAGCUUGCUUUUCAAAACUUAGCGGCGGACGGGUGAGUAACACGUGGGCAACCUGCCCUUGAGACGGGGAUAACUCCGGGAAACCGGAGCUAAUACCGGAUAACACAUAUCUUCGCAUGAGGAUAUGUUAGAAGGUGGCUUUUAGCUACCACUCAAGGAUGGGCCCGCGGCGCAUUAGCUAGUUGGUGAGGUAACGGCUCACCAAGGCGACGAUGCGUAGCCGACCUGAGAGGGUGAUCGGCCACACUGGCACUGAGACACGGCCCAGACUCCUACGGGAGGCAGCAGUAGGGAAUCUUCCGCAAUGGACGAAAGUCUGACGGAGCAACGCCGCGUGAGUGAUGAAGGUUUUCGGAUCAUAAACCUCUGUUGUUAGGGAAAAACAAGUACCUGUUGAAUAAGCAGGUACCUUGACGGUACCUAACCAGAAAGCCACGGCUAACUACGUGCCAGCAGCCGCGGUAAUACGUAGGUGGCAAGCGUUGUCCGGAAUUAUUGGGCGUAAAGCGCGCGCAGGCGGUUCCUUAAGUCUGAUGUGAAAGCCCACGGCUCAACCGUGGAGGGUCAUUGGAAACUGGGGAACUUGAGUGCAGAAGAGGAGAGCGGAAUUCCACGUGUAGCGGUGAAAUGCGUAGAGAUGUGGAGGAACACCAGUGGCGAAGGCGGCUCUCUGGUCUGUAACUGACGCUGAGGCGCGAAAGCGUGGGGAGCGAACAGGAUUAGAUACCCUGGUAGUCCACGCCGUAAACGAUGAGUGCUAAGUGUUAGAGGGUUUCCGCCCUUUAGUGCUGCAGCAAACGCAUUAAGCACUCCGCCUGGGGGAGUACGGUCGCAGACUGAAACUCAAGGAAUUGACGGGGACCCGCACAGCGGUGGAGCAUGUGGUUUAAUUCGAAGCACGCGAAGACCUUACCAGGUCUGAAUUCCUCUGCUACUUCUAAGAGAUAGAAGUCCCUUCGGGACAAGAUGAAAGGUGGUGGCAUGUGUCGUCAGCUCCGUGUCGUGAGAAUGUUGAUUAGUCCGCACGAGCAACCUUGACUCUUAUUGCACAUUAAUUGCUCUAAGGUGACCUGGCGGUGAACAACCGGAGA